UGCCCCAGUAAUGGCGAAUGAAGCGGCAAGAGCCCAAAUUUGAAAUCGGGCAACCGAGUUGUAAUUUGGAGACGGGACACUAGAGAGGAGGAAGGCGAUUAAGUGCCUUGGAACAGGCUGCCGUAGAGGGUGAGAGCCCCGUGAAUCGCUGGAGACCGAUCAAUUAGUGCCCGCCGAAGAGUCGAGUUGUUUGGGAAUGCAGCUCUAAGUGGGUGGUAUAUUCCAUCUAAGGCUAAAUAUUAGCGAGAGACCGAUAGCAAACAAGUACAGUGAUGGAAAGAUGAAAAGAACUUUGGAAAGAGAGUGAAAUAGUACGUGAAAUUGUUGAAAGGGAAGGGUAUUUGAUCCGACAUGGUGUUUAGCAGCGGCCCGUUCCUCGUGGAUGGGUGCACCUGGUUUACACUGGGCCAGCAUCGGUUCUGGGAGCCAUAUACGGGGUUCGUGAAUGUGGCCCUUCGAUUCUGUCGGAGGGUGUUAUAGCGCGGACAUCUUGUGGCUAGCCGGGACCGGGGACUGCGGUGACUUGUCACCAAGGAUGCUGGCAGAACGAGCAAAUACC
rnacentral:rRNA from 1 species